GAUGAACGCUGGCGGCGUGCCUAAUACAUGCAAGUCGAGCGAACAGACGAGGAGCUUGCUCCUCUGACGUUAGCGGCGGACGUGUGAGUAACACGUGUAUAACCUACCUAUAAGACUGGGAUAACUUCGGGAAACCGGAGCUAAUACCGGAUAAUAUAUUGAACCGCAUGGUUCAAUAGUGAAAGACGGUUUUGCUGUCACUUAUAGAUGUAUCCGCGCCGCAUUAGCUAGUUGGUAAGGUAACGGCUUACCAAGGCAACGAUGCGUAGCCGACCUGAGAGGGUGAUCGGCCACACUGGAACUGAGACACGGUCCAGACUCCUACGGGAGGCAGCAGUAGGGAAUCUUCCGCAAUGGGCGAAAGCCUGACGGAGCAACGCCGCGUGAGUGAUGAAGGUCUUCGGAUCGUAAAACUCUGUUAUUAGGGAAGAACAAAUGUGUAAGUAACUAUGCACGUCUUGACGGUACCUAAUCAGAAAGCCACGGCUAACUACGUG
rnacentral:rRNA from 1 species